CACAAAUAAAGGACAAGCUUGAAGACAGAAAGAUGGCUGCAGUAACGUUAUUUCAAAGCAGCUCAAGCUUUGGAAACUGAUCUGUUUGAGCAGAGAGGACAGAUGGGAAGGUGGGAGCUGGACAGACUGAAGCCUAACGCACUGCUUCAUUCCUGUAUUCACAUAAAGAUGAAGAAAGAGCUAGUGCCCAUUGAUGUCAUUAUCAAAGGGUCGUGGGGACCUGGAGCCUAUCCCAGGAGACUUAGGGCACAAGGCGGGGUACAUCCUGGAGAGGGGGCCAAUCCAUCAUAGGGCACUUAUCAUGUCAAUAAAAGAAAAAGAAAGUUAACUCAAUUUGAUUAAUAAAUGAAUUUU